rnacentral:rRNA from 1 species
UUUCUCAAACAGAGGAGGUUGCGGCAAUAACAGGUCUGUGAUGCCCUCAGAUGUCCCGGGCUGCACACGUGCUACAAUGAGUGGCGCAAUGUGCUAAUGUUUAAGGGAUAAGAGUGUGGUCAGUAGAACGUCGGGAUUUCCCCUGACGUCUCCCCCGCACGAUUAUCAGCCUUCCCUUAACAGGGCGGGCAACCUUUUCAAAAUACUGGUUUGAUGUUAAAGUAUUGAGUCGUUUUUUUUGGAUGGUGGUUUGUUAACCAAUACCAUCCGGCAACUGCUCGCGAGUUUGUGGUUCUGGCGACUCAUGGUGGGGACCGACGUUUGUAAUUUUUUGUCGCGUGUAACUAGGAAUGCCUUGUACUGUCGAUUCACUAAGUUACUGGGAAUACGUCCCUGCCCUUUGUACACACCGCCCGU